UCUUCUCCUCUCUCCCACCUUCUGCCGUGCGGCACGCUGCUCGUCCAAGCCAGCCGGAGGAACAAGCGCUAGGAUUUCUGGUUUUUGGUAACCUGGAUGGCAAGGAAGUGGAGCACGACAUGGAGCAGCAACCACUGCAGGGAGCCGUCGGGGUGGUAGUUGAAGACGGCCACCUGGUGGCAGCGCUGGCCGCCUCACGGACCCGGCGACGGGGCGCGGUCAGGCCUGUAGCGGCAAAGGACUGCCACGUCCAAACUCAUACGGAACACAGGUGCCCAAGAUCUUCUUUCUCCUCUCUGUUUUUCUAAUCCCCAAAUCAUGUAUGCUAGUGCAGAUCCUAGAAGGGGUCUACAGCCGGAGUGUGGAUCUGCAAGAGAUAAAAUGAGAUUCAGUCUGAAGGAAUAGUUCAUGUUAGUCCCUAGAUCUAUGGCAUGUUCAUCCUCUCUCUGAACCCCUUGGGAGGCGCGGGGUGAUUCCUCACCUCCAUGCUAUUGUUGUUAAAAAUUCCCAAACCCUAGGUCAAUUGACAUUUCCUCCGCGCCACAUCAAUAACACACCCACUGCGAGUACAAGUCAUGGUUGGAUUAUCAUAAUUUACACAUAAAAUUAGCAUGUCAAAGUUGUCCCUAAACCACAAUUUGUCAUCAGGCCAUAAGCUGCACGUUUUGUGUUAUUUUAAUAUGAUUUUUAUUUCCUAUGACUUUUAACCUCAUGUCAGUAAUUAUCUCAUAAUUUUGUUGCCUCCAUUCUAUCCUUGCAGGUCAAUUAGCAUUUCCUCUUCACCACAUCAAUGAGCCAGCCAAUGUGAGCAUGUUCCUUCUUUGUUUCUUUGAACUAUCUCUAGAAAUUUAGUCACAGGGUUGUCAUUGGCAAAUGUUACUCUCUAAUCCUCUCCAUGUCCAUUGUAAGAAUUAAGCCAUUUUAUAUGAAGGCUAUUUCCUUUUUCCUCAUUUGCUGGUGUGGCUACAAAUCUUGGAUCCAUACAUCGUGUAUAUUGACAUGUUGUUGCCUCAAGCUUAACAUUGUUUUUUUUGGUAAAUUCAGUUGUCUAGAUGAAUUGAAAGGGGGGAGGUGGAGUGGCAUCAGUGACCACAUUUUACCCUCCUAUUGAUAUAAGAGGAAGUCAAAUAUCAUCCCUGGUUUUCUUAUGCUAAUUGCAGAGCCUGUUAAGAUUCACACCUUGAAAAUGCUUACAUGGUUUCAUCCCAAAACUGUUCUCUACAUGAGUCAUGUGUUUAGUUUUUUAUGUGGAUCUGUUUGUACUUUAACAAGGUAAAUAAAAAAAUUACAGCGGUUACCAUGCCUCAAUUUGUGUUUCAACCAGGUGGAGAAUUUCUUACUGUGUUCUACUUCCAAAUCCUGAGAGUGAAGGUUCAGUUUCUCUUUUUGAGCUUUAGCUGCAUUUCAUUUCUUUGAUGAUCCCCGCACAUCUUGCUGGUUAAGAGGCUAUGUAUUUGUUGCAGCGGCUGGAGCAUGGCUGCAGUCUUCGUUUGCAGAUUGGGAGUAUCUAGCUCCAAUUUAUUAAACAGGUGUAAUAGGUGUGCGAGAUGAUGCCUGAUGAAUAUGCUUGAGUUCAACACACUGAAGUGUACUUAUCGGUUUGGUGAAGAAAUUUAUGAAUCCUGGGUUACCGAGACGGCUUUGGGUGACACCUUCUGGAUGCUGAGACGGCUUGGGCUGACACCUUCUCGAUGCAGAGACGGCUUGGGUGACACCUUCUCGAUGAAUUAUUUUUAGUUUCAGCUAUUUCUAAUGAAUUAUUUUUAGUUUCAGCUAUUUCUAAUGAAUUAUUUUUAGUUUCAGCUAUUUCUAAUGAAUUAUUUUUAGUUUCCUGAUAUGAUAUUUCAGUUGUAGUUUUUUGUGUCAAUUGUUUGCAUCAACCAAUAAUGUAUUGCUAUGUUUGUAGCUUCUUUUUUAGGCUGCUCCUCCAGUCCCUAUGUGCAUGCAUUUUUUAUAGGUUGGGAUGAAGCUAGGUUAGUUCAUAGCUUUAUGCGCCCCAUAUAAUAGUCAUACUGCCUACUAAAAUAUGGAAUUAUCAAUAUUCAUUUCUACUAUUUUAUAUUUAUAUCAUGUACUGGAGUUCUUUCUCUUUUUAUUUCGUACAAUGAAGAGCAUAGUUAGGCCUAUUUAUCUUCUUCACAUGGCAUGAUCUCUGAAUUCUAUUGGUAUAAAAAUGUUGUGGUAUUGUCUAAGUUCAAAUAUAUGCAUUCGGUGGGCCAAAGCAAUGCAUGUACAUUGGGAAAUUAUGAAGCUAAAGCAUGCCACUGUAACAAUAAUACAUACAUUCUUAUUUUUUUUACUUCUGUUUUUAUUGUAAUUAGUUAACUGAUCAGAUUCUUUUUUUGAUGUGAUAUAAAGCUGCAAGCAAUCCUGGUCUAUCUACAAGUGGACAUAAUGCAUGGUAGUGCUAUUUUAUAUUGGGAUAUUAGAUUUUUAUGCAAUAUGUAUUUUGAACGCCACCAUGCUCUAGAGUGCAAUAUUUUGCAUGCUAGAAAGAUUGAGGACUACAACACCAUGGGACUUUUAGCUUCUUUUUAUAUUUAAAAUGGCCAUGUAGUAAUUUCUCAUUCCUGAGUUUAAUGUUUAUAUUCUUCAAUUCUGCAUUUCUUUCUUUGUAGAUCUCAGAUUUAUCAGCCUCCUGGCUAGAUGAUUACCAGUGAUUGAUCAUGCUCUAGAAUCCAAACGAGUUGAGAUUGUCCAGAAAAGUAGGCAAGUCACCCAGUCUGAACCAAAAUUUGGCGAGUUGAAUUCUCUUAUCUCAUGAAUUGCACAAUGCCUUGCAAUUGCUGGGAUCAUAAGAUGUUCUCACAGUAGAACACUAGGAAGGCAUAAUCUGUAUUUUCUUUUCAAUUCCUUUGUGACUUUAUUUAUGCUGGUUGCAUGCCCGGUGAAACAGAUCAAGCACUUGGUUGUUGCUUAACUGAUUCAUUAUUUGUUUCUCUUGAUUUCUUGUGUUGUAAGUGAUGCAAAUGGUUGUCCUCGUCCCUAAAUCUCUAUUCUUUCA